rnacentral:misc_RNA from 1 species
CAUAUUAAAUGUUCUAUGUAAGGCAAUUUAAUUACAUCAGCGCUUGGGUGUUUCGUCAAAACAUGCCUUAUAAAAGCCAUUUUAAAUAUCAGGGAUGGGUGAUGGAUUUUGUUGAUAGAUUAAAGUGUUCAUAUGUAGCAACAGUUUUGUAUAAUUUAAUUAUAUAAGAUUGAUAUGGCUUGAGAAUAGAAUCGGGUAAGGAAAACUUAUCACAGGUCUUCAAGUCAUCAUGUUGGUCAAUGCGUUAUGCAUGGCUCUUCUACAAUUUUCCAGACUUUGCUUCUCAUUAUUGAUAUGAUAUACUUUGAUGUAAAAAUUAGUUGUUCUCCUGUCGUAAUUAUGUGAUGUUCCUUAGAACUCUGCCUCGGUUAGACCAAACAUUGCUAGUGCCUAGCCUGGAUAAAAGAAAAGGGUUGUGUUAGGUGACAACCAGUGUAAAGCUUUAUCACAUCUCAUGAU